rnacentral:rRNA from 1 species
AUAUGUAGAAGUGAAGAGGCCCAAGUGCUGCUUUACCCAAAACAGGGGGUGUGUCUAGUGCGCAAGACGAGGUAUCGGAGCUGACUCCUGCACGGUGCGGGAAGGUAAAGGGGAUCUGUGAUAGCAAUCGAAGCGGUGAACUUAGGACCCAGUAAACGGGGGCCGUAACUAUAACGGUCAUAAGGUAGCGAAAUUCCUUGUCGGGUAAUUUCCGACCCGCACGAAAGGCGUAACGAUUUGGGCACUGUCUCAACAACAGACUCGGUGAAAUUGUAAUUCCUGUGAAGAUGCCGGCUCCCUGCGACAGUACGGAAAGAACCCAUGGAACUUUACUUUAUCUUUACAAAGGUUCUUGGUAAGUCAUGUACAGGCUAGAUGUGAGGCUUUGAAAUCCAGACGCCAUUUUUGCGG